rnacentral:rRNA from 1 species
UACGAGGGGGGCAAGCGUUGUUCGGAAUUAUUGGGCGUAAAGAGCGUGUAGGCGGUUUGGUAGGUCCGCUGUGAAAACUCGAGGCUCAACCUCGAGACGCCGGUGGAAACCAUCAGACUAGAGUCCGGAAGAGGAGAGUGGAAUUCCUGGUGUAGCGGUGAAAUGCGCAGAUAUCAGGAAGAACACCCGUGGCUAAGGCGGCUCUCUAGUACGGUACUGACGCUGAGACGCGAAAGCGUGGGGAGCGAACAGG